rnacentral:rRNA from 1 species
CAGCCGCCACGGGAAUACGAGGGGGGCAAGCGUUGUUCGGAAUUAUUGGGCGUAAAGGGUGCGUAGGCGGUUUGGCAAGUUUGGUGUGAAAUCUUCGGGCUCAACUCGAAGUCUGCAUCGAAAACUGCCGGGCUUGAGUAUGGGAGAGGUGAGUGGAAUUUCCGGUGUAGCGGUGAAAUGCGUAGAUAUUGGAAGGAACACCUGUGGCGAAAGCGGCUCACUGGACCAUAACUGACGCUGAUGCACGAAAGCUAGGGGAGCAAACAGGAUUAGAUACCCCCGUAGUCCCUGUCUCUUAUAC